rnacentral:rRNA from 1 species
AGAGAGAGACAUGCGCGCAUAUCAAUAAGCGGAGGAAAAGAAACUAACAAGGAUUCCCUAGUAACGGCGAGUGAAGCGGGAAGAGCUCAAAUUUGAAAUCUUAAAGGGUUUCCCUUUACGAAUUGUAGUUUAAAGAAGCGUUUUCUGUUGAGGUUUUGGUAAAAGUUCUUUGGAAUAGGACAUCAUAGAGGGUGAGAAUCCCGUAUUUGACCUUUACUUUCAACUUUGUGAUACACUUUCAAAGAGUCGGAUUGUUUGGGAAUGCAGUCCAAAAUGGGUGGUAAAUUUCAUCUAAAGCUAAAUAUUGGCGAGAGACCGAUAGCGAACAAGUACCGUGAGGGAAAGAUGAAAAGAACUUUGAAAAGAGAGUUAAACAGUACGUGAAAUUGUCAAAAGGGAAGCGUUUGACACCAGUGUUGUUUUUCUGAAAAUCAAUUAAAGAACUGUUUAUGCUAAGUUGUUUAGACUUUAUCAGCUAACUGUUUAGUUUUGAGCUUUUCUUUAAUGCACUUUUCAGUUAACAAGUCAACAUCAAUUUCUUUUGCUGUAAAAAAGCUUGAGGAAGGUGGCUUGAGAUUCGUCUUAAGUGUUUAUAGCCUCUUGCCUAUGCAGUCGGAGAGAUUGAGGUCUGCAGCGUAGAUCCUUCGGGGCUAAAUGCAUUUGUGCUAAGUUAUAGCAUUUUAUAGACAACUUGUUGACUAUGAUUUGUCUUGUAGCUUACUCGCUUAUGUUAUUUUACCUACGCUUAGGAUGUUGAGCGCAUGUCUCUCUCU